rnacentral:lncRNA from 1 species
UUUCUUCUUUUUAGAUGUUGUCGUUCCACCUUGCUAAUAUUUUUUUGUUUUGUUUUCUUGUGUGACAUUGAUUCGAGUCCACUUUGGAUUCCAUUCUUGCAUUCCUCGUUGAGCCAUAAAGGCUCAAAACACUUUUCCCGAGUCAGCCAACCCCUGAAAGGAUGUACAGGUCGAAAGUAAAACCAUUGGAGAGCUGCUGGAAGUGGCGGAUUGCAGGCAUUUGGCUGCGAUUUUUGUUUUGAAGCUGUGUAUCUGGUUUCUACACAAUAUAUACACUGUGAUACAGGUCAAAAAUCCACAAGAGACCCAAACUCAAAAUCUGAGUUGACGACAGGGAAGUUACGUUUCUGAAAAGGAGGUUUCAACUUCUGAAAGUUGAAAAACAGGCUUAUAUACAUCCUGUAUACACAGAUAUACAGCUAUGAUAUACUAUAUAUAUGCUCAAAAAAUAUGAUUGGCAAGGAAACGUAGAGGAACGUCUAUUCUAAUUAAAAUUCGGAAUUAGGCAAACAAUGCGGACGUAAGGUGCAGCCCGUAUACAUCAGUAUAAAUUAUCGGGCGACGAUAUACACUUGUUAAGUAAGUUUUAAAAAUGAUACAGGUACAAAUACGCAGGACAAUACAGGAAAAACAACGGGAAAUAUGUAUUUAAACAGGUGCAUGGCUCGAUAGGUCCAAAUGGUUCAAACAUAUACUGCAUACAGCAUGUAUACAUUUGUGUAUACCCUCAUGAUCUUUUUUUCAGGAAUGGGCCAGGGCCCUUAAGCAUCUUUUUAACAGGCCCAAGGGACCAAAAUAUUUUUUUUUAUGCAGGAUUUUUAAUUUGUUGAAAGGGCCCGAGUCCAUAUUUGAAAUAGAUAGGACAGGUGGGCUAAAACCCAAUGGAAUGAAUUUGGGCAAUAAGGCCCAAGUUCAAAUUAUUUCUCCUCUUUAUUUAUUACUUGCUUGAAUUAAUUAUUGUUAUGGUAGAAUUUUAAUAAUCUCCAAAGGGGUAACCAAUCUUCACUAUUUUAAAAUUUACCACUUUAUUUGCUUAUUUUGUUUUAUUUUUUCACCAUUUUCCUUAAGUUUUCUCCUUUUAAGUGUUUUCCUUUAGAAGUAAUAGGAUACAAAAAUUUAAAAAUUAAAGAAUAGAUCAAAACGAUUUCUCACUAAGUUAAAAAUUUUAAAUAUACAUUAAAGUCAUUUUAGUCAAAUCGCCGGUCAACCGCAAGUUAGCGGGCAUCCCGAGGGCUUAACACCUUCUCGGGAUGUAAAUUGAACUUCGAACCUUUUUAAUCGAUUUUAUCUGUUUUUAAAUCUUUUGAAAUUUUUCUUGAUUUUAUCAAAAUCAAGUGGCGACUCUGUGAUUUAAAAAUCAAUUUUUCUUAAACAAUAAGACUAAUUGAUUUCUCAAAAUCUAGUCAAUAUUUUUUCCAUUUUUAAACCGAAAAAUAGUUAGUAGUAUUUUUUAAAAAUAAAACAAAAUGGCGACUCCACUGGGGAUUAAUUAAGUUCUAACCAUAAGAUUUGACUGUUUGACUAACUGCUUUUAAUUGUUAAAAUAUUGUUUGUACUGAAUAUGUUUAAAUUUUUCAUAAAUUGUCAUUGCAUUCAUGGCAUAUUUCCGAUAUAUAUGUAUAGUAUAUUAAAGGACGGUUUGCGGAACCGCAGCCGGGCUUUUUUAUACUCACCUUUUUUUAAAAUUAGCGGCAAUUUAUUGGUUCGUUAGGCGUCCAAUGAUUGUCGUGAGUUUCAGCCCAAAUUGUCCGUUUGGGUUGCCGAUCCUUUCAAAGCCAUUCCUAGUCAACUAGCGUAGAGCUGAACCAAAUACCGAAUUUAGGAGCAUUUAAACUAUGAUGACCCAAUACUCAAGGCGUGUUGGGCCCAUUAGAAGACCACCUUAAGUCCAAAACAGCCCACGGCCUAAAUGGACGCUCAUACUUAUGUGUUUAAAUUUAAAGGAUGUAUACGUUGUUUGAGAAAAUCAUUGUCUCAUAAGAUAAGGAUUAGAUUAUAGUUUAUAUAAGUUAAACAAAGAUCUUUAAAAGCUACUAGUCCAUCCAAAGACGUUGGCACCCGAAGAUUGCAAAAGUCAAAAAAAAAGAAGGAUCUUUCGUGGAGGCAUAGUAUAGGGUCGUACACCUGCGUGGGACUGAUUAUUUUGUAUACCUUUCCCCUAUUAUGUAUCCCCAUUGAGUUUUAUUCAUGAAAUUUGUAUAAAUUUGAUUUUUGGAGCAACGAAAUAUUUCAAAUGACGUAUACAUCCCUCAAAUCGGUAGGCCUACCCUUGGCACUAAAGGGUCACAAAUCUGUUUAGAACGCGCAAUAUUUGUUUAUGUGUUAUAACUGCUUAUGUGAAUAUGUUGUUUUAUUUGGAGAUAUUCUAGCUCACUCUUCUUCAAAUACUUUUAGAACCACUAAGCACAAAUAUCAAGUCACUGUCAAAAGUGCGUCCAAAUACUCUUCGAGACUUUAAAAAAAAAUUGAACUUCAUUCUUCUUUAGUACUACUCUCAUAUCAGAAAAGAUUCAUCAUUUCAAAUCAAAAGAAUUUUGAGAAUUUUAUCUUUUCCAACUCUUACUAGGAAAUUAGAGUUACAUCUCAAUCAAAAAUGAAAGUACGGUAAUGAAAGAUACCGUCAACUUUGUCUCGACUCAAGUCGAUAUUUUUAAUUCACUAAUCCCAAAGUCAAGUAGACAAAUUCCUGUCUAUUUACCAUUUCUCUAUAUUGGUUUCUCUAUAUUUGUGAGUCAGUUUAUCUCCGAAUAAAGCAAUUCUUAUGUGUUUACACCUAUAUGUGAUAUCUUGUAUUAUUAACCAUCUCCAGAAACUAACAUAUUGGUCUUGAGUUUUUUUUCAUUUGUCAGGUAUUUAAAACUGAUUUGUGUUGAUAAGUUGGUUGAUCAUCCGUAUUUCACAAGGUCUAAGGCCCCUAAAGAUUCCUCCCCCGCUCAAAUUUGCAAAAAAGAAAAGACAACAAUGAGGGAUAACAAUGAUGAGAUUGACAUGAAUGAUGUUGUCGUGGCCCAACCCGCUGCCGCUGAUAAAAAUGAAUUGAUUAUGCAGUUGAUACAACAGAUUGCCGAAAUGAGGGUCGAAAUGCAAAGAAUGCAAAAUGUGUCUAAUCCAAUUUCAUCCUUCAACCCUCCAAGAGAUGGAAGACCUCUACUCCACUUUCCUCCCCCAAGCACGGAACAGGUUCAGAACCUUCUCUCUAACCCCACUCAAAAUCCUCUAACCAUUGACUUAAUUAGCCCCAAUCCCCGUCACGCCACAACAUCAUGUCAAGAACCACAUCCUCCUCAAAAUACCAACCUUCAAAUCCUACAUCUCCCUCAAAACCAAAAUACUGAUCCUCAAACUUUCCCUCAAAAUUAUCAAGCCACUCAUAAAAAACCCAGAAUCCCUCCAUUGUUCCACCCAUACCUCAAAAGACUACUUUCCAAAUCCCAACUUCAAAUGAACCUUACGUCGACUAUUCCAAGCUUGAUCACUAUAAAGAACAGGAGAGAGAGUGGAAGUCAAAAGAAGAGGCAGUCAAGCUGAAUAUGAAAGAAGAGAUCAGGAAAGCCAUGAAGGAGUUAGACUAUAUUUUCGAAGGUGGUGGAUUGAGCUAUAAGGAUUUAUGCGUCCAUCCGAAUCUCAACCUUCCAAAAGGGUUCAAAGUGCCAAAGUUUGUCACUUUUAACGGAACAGAAAAUCCCCUAGCACAUCUGAAAGUUUAUUGUGAUCAACUCGUGGGAGUUGGCAAAGACGAAGCAUUAUUGAUGCGUCUCUUCGGUCGAAGUCUAAGUGGAGAAGCUCUGGAGUGGCUUACAUCACAGGAGCUGAAACAAUGGAAAAGUUGGAAUGCACUCGCAAAGGAUUUCACAGAAAGAUUUAGACAUAACAUAGAAGACGUCCCAGAUCGCUACUACAUGGAGAAGAUCAAACAGAAGUCUACAGAAAAUUAUCGAGAGUACGCUCUUCGUUGGAGAAAAGAGGCCGCAAGAGUUCAACCUCCCAUGUCCGAACGUGAGAUCACUGAAAUGUUCAUUCGUACUCAAGAUCCUGAGUACUAUGAAAAAAUGUUGUGUAUGAUGGGACAAAAGUUUGUCGAGAUUGUCAAAGUGGGAGAAGCUUUGGAAGAUGGUUUCAAGACUGGAAAGCUCACCAAACUUACCGCAUUGCGAUCUAAUGGAAAAUCUGCUAGAAUCAAUGAUAUGGAUAAAUCAAAAGGAAAAGUGGAGGAGGUAAGUAUGAUCACGGCUACUCAUAUGAGGUCAGCUUCUCAAAGGAAAUACCAAAACCAUAAUGUCAAUCAGGAAAAAUUUUCUCGCCCAAAAUUCAGGAAGGCUCCUAAGGUAUUUACCCCAUUAAGGGAAUCUCAAACUCAACUUUAUGAAAGUUUGAAAGCAAUGGGUAUGCUCUAUCCUAUAGAAGGAAGACCAACCAAUCCUUUGGGAAAAUUUUACAGAGCUGACCACAGAUGUGCUUAUCAUUCAGGAGCCGUUGGACACGACACAGAGAAUUGUUCAACUCUGAAGCACAAGAUACAAAACAUGAUCAACAACAACUUGAUAAAUAUUGAGGAAACAUCAUGAAUGGAUGACGUAUUGGAUACUCGAGAGUGAGUACAAGACAUUUCUGAAUUAAGUCAUUUGAAGAUAUUCAUUUGAGAAGAAGAAUGCCCAACAUUGGCAAAAUUUUGCAUAUGAAGUUUUGUUACCUUUCUUUUGAAAAUGUAUCGCACAUUUCUUGUCUGAACUACGUACGACCUGAUUUCUCAAGAAUGAGAUACGUAGGCGGCCUAUGUCGGCUUCAGUCACCCCAUUUUACCCCCUUUAUCAUUUCUUUAUAACGAACUACGUCUGACCUGAAUUCUCGAGAACGAGAUACGUAGGCGGCCUUUGUCGGCUUCGGUCACCCCAUUUAUUCCCUUAAAAAUUCUACGGUUAGAACUACGUUCGACCUUACUUCUCAAGAAUGAGAUACGUAGGCGGCCUAUGUCGGCCUCGGUCGUUUCUUUAUCAAAACUUCCUAUUUUGGUUAAUCCUUGGGAGGGGGAACUAUGUUUGACCUGAUUCCUGCUCCAAUGGGAUACGUAGGCGCCACAACGGCUCGGUCAUAAUACCCAGUAAGAUUUCCAUUUCUCUUCAUAAUGGAAACCGGGACAGAAUUUUUGAGAGGAUCUCAAAAAUUCAUUUGAAGUUGGACUUAUUUAACAAGUCAAAACAGAAGACCAAAUUCUACGGAGAUUAGCCUUGGGUGGAUCUCAAAAAUUACGAUAAUCUGGUUUGCAACUGGGACAGAAUUUUGAGAUGAUCUCAAAAAUUCCACAAAUGUCAUUUGUUACUUAUUAAGGUAAAUUGGGACAAGUUUUGAGGAGGGACCUCAAAAUUCCAGUAUGAGCAACCUCAGAGUUAACAGAGCAAGUUAUAGGAGUUCUUCUAUAUUGUAGACCGGGACAAAGUUUUGGGGAGGGUCCUCAAAAUUCCAUCAAAUAUGUCAUAUAAAGAAUGGGCGAGCGUGCAAGUCAACUGCAAGAAGGAGCAUGGAGACAAAACCAACACAAAUCAGUCUUUCAAACUAAGAAUUUUAAUUUGGAUGUAGGAACAUUGAAGUCACAAAAAUGGCUAUGUAAAGUUGUCAAGAAUGACAAAAGGCGUCACUUGCACCCAUCGUGGAGUCCUCAACAAAACCUUGAAAAUCUUCCACCUUAUUUUUUCUCUAUUCCUUUAUAUUGCCUCAAGUGAUUUCUAAACAAGUUUCUUUUUAUCUUGCAGGACUAUUAUCGAGUCGUCCACCUCGUUACAGUUGGACUAUUAUCGAGCCAUCCACCUCGUUACAGUGAAACAUUAUCGAGCCGUCCACCUCGUUACAGUUGGACUAUUAUCGAGCCAUCCACCUCGUUACAGUGGAACAUUAUCGAGCCAUCCACCUCGUUACAGUUGGAACAUUAUCGAGUCAUCCACCUCGUUACAGUUGGAACAUUAUCGAGCUAUCCACCUCGUUACAGUUGGAACAUUAUCGAGCCAUCCACCUUGUUACAGUUGGAACAUUAUCGAGUCAUCCACCUCCUUACAGUUGGAACAUUAUCGAGCUAUCCACCUCGUUACAGUUGGAACAUUAUCGAGUCAUCCACCUUGUUACAGUUGGAACAUUAUCGAGCUAUUCACCUCGUUACAAUUGGAACAUUAUCGAGCCAUCCACCUCGUUACAGUUGGAACAUUAUCGAGUCAUACACCUCGUUACAGUUGGAACAUUAUCGAGCUAUCCAGCUCGUUACAGUUGGAACAUUAUCGAGCCAUCCACCUCGUCACAGUUGGAACAUUAUCGAGCCAUCUAGGCCUCGUUAAAAGUCAUGCAUCACGAAAAUCAUGCAUCGCGGAAAUCAUGCAUUGCGGAAAAUCAUGCUUCGCGAAAAUCAUGCAUCGCGAAAAUCAUGCAUUGCAGAAAUCAUGCAUUGCGAAAAAUCAUGCAUCGCGGAAAAUCAUGCAUCGCGCAAAAAUCAUGCAUUUCGAAAAAACAUGCAUCGCGAAAAUCAUGCAUCGGGGAAAAUCAUGCAUCGCAGAAAUCAUGCAUUGCGGAAAAAUAUGCAUCGCGAAAAUCAUGCAUCGUGGAAAAUUACGCAUCGCGGAAAUCAUGCAUUACGGAAAAACAUGCAUCGCAAAAAUCAUGCAUCGCGAAAAUCAUGCAUUGUGGAAAUCAUGCAUUGCGGAAAAUCAUGCAUCGCGGAAAAUCAUGCAUCGCGAAAUCAUGCAUCGUGAAUUUGAAAUUUAUACAUCGCAAGAAGACUUUAUACCUCGCUGAAAUUUAUGCUCGACGAGAAGACUUCAUGCCUCAUCAAAUUUAUAUAUCGCGAGAAGACUUUAAACCUCGCUUGAAUUUAUGCAUGACGAGAAGAUCUCAUGCCUCGUCAAAUUUAUAUAUCGCGAGAAGACUUUAUACCUCGCUUGAAUUUAUGCACGACGCGAAGAUUUCAUGCCUCGUCAAAUUUAUAUAUCGUGAGAAGGCUUUAUACCUCGCUGGAGUUAAUGCAUCACGAGAAGAAUCCAUGCCUCAUUGAAAAUCAUGCAUCGCGAAUUGGAAAUUUAUACAUCGCGAGAAGACUUUAUACCUCGCUUGAAUUUAUGCACGACGAGAAGAUUUCAUGCCUCGUCAAAUUUAUAUAUCGGGAGAAGGCUUUAUACCUCGCUGAAAUUUGUGCAUCACGAGAAAGAUCCAUGCCUCGUUUAAAAAUCAUGCAUCGCGGAAAAGUCAUGCAUUGCUAGUCAACAAUUAUGCACGACGAGAAGAAUUCAUGCCUCGUCAAAAUUUGCACAUCGCGAGAAGAUUUUAUUCCUCCCUGAAAGUUAUGCAUUGCGAGAAGAUUCAUAUCUCGCGGGAAUUUACAUAUCGCGGGAAGAUAUUCAUGCCCCGCAAGAGGACAUACACGGAAAAAGAAAGAGCAAUAUUUAUCCAUCGGCCUCAACUGCAUCUUUUAUUUUUGAUAAAAAAUAAACAUCAAGAAGAUCAUCAAAGACGAAAGUCAAAAGAAAUACCAGCAUCAUAUCAUCAUUUAUUUCUUUUAACAUCAAAUGAAGAGUACAUUGAAGAUUAUAUUGCAAAUAUCAGACGUAAGCUUUAUUUGUUGUACGUCAGACUGAUCAAGUCGACGUCGAAUACUGAUGAGAACAAUGAAGUGUCGACAUGGUAAAAAGACACUGUCUUCCACCCUAAUUGAAUUUAUUAACUAACGAGUUUUUAUCUCAGUCUUUGUCGAGAGCAUCCAAGAGGAUGAAUUCUAAAACCAAACCACAGGUGCGGAUGACAUCAACAAAGAUGCAGCACAACGUGGAACUUUUCUUAGCAGCGAACUGGGACACAUACCAAAGAGGAAUGUCAAACUCUUAGGAUGCGAGCAGAGGAGCGACUUCCACCACAAUAAAACCACACCCCUAUCUUAAGGCAUGUUGGUUUUUCUUUAGUUUUGUCAAUUUCAGUCUCGCAUCCAAAAAUUUUGAUUUACCGGAAGCAAGUUUUCAAUCUGAGUGACAAUGCGCCAAGAGCUUUGGAAAUUAUGUCCGUGUAAGUUCUUAAUUAUGGGUGUGAAACGCGCCACAUUCAUGGCUAAGAGGUUACAAGCCUCUUUUUCAUACUCGUUUAAUUUGUCACUUGUCUGAAACCGAAGGUUAUCUAGCAUAAUAGAUUUCCUUUUCAACCGAUCGAGUCGAACUACACACAGCCUGAUUCCUGAAGUUUUAAGGAUAUGUAGGCGGAUUCAAUGUUGAAAACCCGGCUGUAUUCCAACAUUCGCUCUCCAAUUUUAUUCUCGAGCAUUUUGAUACCUUCAUAAUUCGGUAUCGAGGUGGUUUUUGAAUUUUUUCAAAAUCGUGCGUUAAAUUAAGCUUAUCGAACUACAAGUGGCCUGAAUUCUCAUAUAGCCUGAGAUAUGUAGGAAACCCGUUUCAAGGGUUCGGCCAUAAUUCCUCAACCCUUUGCAAAAUCCUUCCCUUAAAGAUGAAUGAGGUUGGUCAAAAUUGGCUUGGUCAAUUUCAUUUUCCUCGAAUUGCUUGCAUCAAUCCAAGUAAAAUGAGGGACAACUGUUGACACCCAAUUUUGACCAUCUCCGAUAGAAAUUAAUUCAUGAGCUUCUUAAAUUUUCCAAGCAAUUUAAAAUAAUUAGUUUUAUAAAUUUUUAAGAAAAAAAUAAAGUUUGUGUUAUUUUGAAUAGUUUUGUCAUUUCUUAUAACUUUUGAAUAAUAUAUAUAUAUAUAUAUAUAUAUAUAUAUAUAUAUAUAUAUAUAUAUAUAUAUUACAUAAUUAUGUAUACAAUUAGUAUAUUUUAUGAUUAUUCAAAAAACCAUCUCAAAAAUAUUUUAAUUUUAGUAAGUAUUCUAUUUAGCUAAUAUAGUUUAAAUUAUGGUUAUAUUUUGAACCACUAUUUUACAAUUUAAAUAAUUAUAUUACUAAAUUAAAGAAGCUCGUUGAUUAAUUAAUACAAAUUCGUUUUAUUUAGGGUUUAGCCGAAUUUAAUAUCUUAACUCAAUUUGGUUAUUUAUCAAAUUUAACUCAUUCUUUAAAUCCACCAAAAGAUCUUAGUUUGCCACUUACACACUCUCUUUAAUUUCCAGGUUCAGCAACCCAACACUUCUCCCAAACCCCAAGCCUAAUAAAUUUCCAGCCGACCUCAUUCCCUUCAAGGCCCACUUUAUUUUCAGACACCCAGGCCCAAUUACAUAGCCCAUUCCGUUUUAAUUAAUUCCCAACCCAAUUCCCUUUUUCCCUUUCCCUCCAACCUUACCCCUUUUAAAAUUCAAAAUUCAAAAUUCAAAUUUUAAACAAAUUUCCCCCUCUUUUGGCCAUAAUUUGGCUUAUAAAUAAUCCCCAUCUUAUUCAUUGUUAGGGGGUUGGUUUAGAGAAAGAAAAAAAGAGAGAGAAAGAAGAAAAGAGGGAGAAAGAGAAAAGAAGAAAGAAGAGAGAAAGAAAGGGAUGGUUUUUGGAGAGAAUUUUUUUUUUUUACAUCUUGUGAUAGAAAUAUAAAGAAUUAUUGAAAGAGUUUAUUCAUAGGAAGAUUUUACAAUAGUUUAAGCACACCUAUAUAUAUUUAUUGAAGUUGAAUUAAAAACAGAACGAUUGCGGGGUUUUUGAUUAUCAUUUGAAUUCGAAGUUGUGUAGUGGAAGGUCAUCCCCUUGCUCGUUUCGUCUCCAGCUCGCUGCCCCGAAGAAGGUGAAAUUCUUUUUUUUUCUUUCUUCUUUUUAGAUGUUGUCAUUCCACCUUGCUAAUAUUUUUUUUGUUUUGUUUUCUUGUGUGACAUCGAUUCGAGUCCACUUUGGAUUCCAUUCUUGCAUUCCUCGUUGAGCCAUAAAGGCUCAAAACACUUUUCCCGAGUCAGACAACCCCUGAAAGGAUGUACAGGUGGCAAGCAAAACCAUUGGAGAGCUGCUGGAAGUGGCGGAUUGCAGGCAUUUGGCUGCGAUUUUUGUUUUGAAGCUGUGUAUCUGGUUUAUACACAAUAUAUACACUGUGAUACAGGUCAAACAUCCACAGGAGGCCCAAACUCAAAAUCGGAGUUGACGACAGGGAAAUUACGUUUAUGGAAAGGAGUUUUCAACUUCUGAAAGUUGAAGAACAGGCUUAAAUAUAUCCUGUAUACACAGAUAUACAGGGAUGAUAUACUAUAUAUAUGCUCAAAAAAUAUGAUUGGCAGAGGAACGUAGAGGAACACCUAUUCUAAUUAAAAUUCGGAAUUAGGCAAACAAUGCGGACGUAGGGUGCAGCCCGUAUACAUAAGUAUACAUUAUCGGGCGAUGAUAUACACUUGUUAAGUAAGUUUUAAAAAUGAUACAGGUACAAAUACGCAGGGCAAUACAGGAAAAACAACGGGAAAUAUGUAUUUAAAUAGGUGCAUGGCUCGAGAGGUCCAAAUGGGUCAAACAUAUACUGCAUACAGCAUGUAUACAUUAGUGUAUACCCUCAUGAUCUUUUUUUCAGGAAUGGGCCAGGGCCCUUCAGCAUCUUUUUGACAGGCCCAAGGGGCCAAAAUGUUUUUUUUUAUGCAGGAUUUUUAAUUUGUUGAAAGGGCCCAAGUCCAUAUUUGAAAUAGAUAGGAUAGGUGGGCUAAAACCCAAUGGAAUGAAUUUGGGCAAUAAGGUCCAAGUUCAAAUUAUUUCUCCUCUUUAUUUAUUACUUGCUUGAAUUAAUUAUUGUUAUGGUAGAAUUUUAAUAAUCUCCAAAGGGGUAGCCAAUCUUCACUAUUUUAAAAUUUACCACUUUAUUUGCUUAUUUUGUUUUAUUUUGUCACCAUUUUCCUUAAGUUUUCUCCUUUUAAGUGUUUUCCUUUAGAAGUAAUAGGAUACAAAAAUUUAAAAAUUAAAGAAUAGAUCAAAACGAUUUCUCACUAAGUUAAAAAUUUUAAAUAUACAUUAAAGUCAUUUUAGUCAAAUCGCCGGUCAACCGCAAGUUAGCGGGCAUCCCGAGGGCCUAACACCUUCUCGGGAUAUACAUUGAACUUCAAACCUUUUCAAUCGAUUUUUAUCUGUUUUUAAAUCUUUUGAAAUUUUUCUUGAUUUUAUCAAAAUCAAGUGGCGACUCUGUGAUUUAAAAAUUUUUCUUAAACAAUAAGACUAAUUGAUUUUUCGAAAUCUAGUCAAUAUUUUUUCCAUUUUUAAACCGAAAAAUAGUUAGUAGUAUUUUUUAAAAUAAAACAAAUGCUUGAUAGCUCAUAAAACAAUCUAAUAAAUCAAAAUUUUAAAUAACCCAUGACAUGGAGGAAAACACCUUACUCAAUUGGGAAUUUCUAAAUUUAUAAAUUGGAGAAUUUGGGAACACCAUGGAGGAUAGGGAUCCGUGGAUGCAAACCAUCAUACCUCAAUGCCACUUGUUUAACUUCAAUGGUGGAAUUUGGAACUUGACUCGAAAACCCUAGCUUCUCCAACUUCUAGAAAGAGAAAUAUUUGAGAGAAUGAUUUCAAUUGGGUGAAUUUUGAGGUUGAAAUACUUAUAUAGGGGUUCUUAAAGAGGGCAAAAUGACAUAGUAUUGGAUAAACUAUCGCCGUCAACAAUGGUGAUGAACCACGGUUCGUGGAUGAACCUACGAAUCGUUGUAACGACCCAAAGUACCCCGUAGAAAUCAGAGUACUCUUAGAUCGCUACAUCGUGUCGUCGACCUCUCGGAGGUCUAAGACAAGCCCGUUGACAUCUUUCAUUUUAUAAUCGUAAUAAAAAUAGCGGAAAAUUUGAAACUUAUUAUAGCACAUCAUAUGCUAGAAUCAUC